UCCUUAAGAGAUGUAGAGCAGGGAUGCCGUGGCCGCCCACCUGUUAUCAGCCGGCACAGCAGCAGCACUAACAUUAUGGACCUGAAACCUUGGGAAUAGAAGCUCAUCUGCUGCAUCACUGAAUGGACGUUCCCCAGCGCCUCUAGGUAGGAUGAUGGCAUUCUCCACAUGUACAGCCAGCAGCGAUGACAGUUAACACCUGCUUUGUGGAGAUCCCUGAAACUGCAUGGAUACAAGAGAUGAGACAGCAACAGCUUUGCCUUGGUUCUACAGUCAGAUACUGCUUUGAAGAACUGGGUCCGGGGACACAUCACAGACAGUAAAGCUGCACAGAAAUGGAGCUAAUAGAGGCAUGCCUCUGAGUGUGGGGAUGUGCCUUGUGCACUGAUGGACACUUGGAUAUGUCAUGUGACCAGGAAGUGCAGUGUAGUUGGAGCUCAGUCAGCAUCAGUAAGAGAAGUUAAAGGGAUUCAGGUAGGAGACUUAAUGGACACUGUAGCUUAAUGUAGUGAGGGGAGAGUUACAGAAGUAUGGGGUGAAACAGGCUCCCAGGGCUGGAUGUACUAAUGCACAUCGCGACCCAUCACCACCCAGCACCACGAUGCUGAUCGCAUAUAUACUUACAUAUGCGAUCAGCAUUGCAGAGGACAGCUCUUCCGAUAAGAGCUGUCCUCCACGAUUCACAGUGGCUGCCUGACUUCCGGGAUUCAUUUUUUUUGGCUUUCCAAAGACAUCUUCAGGAUGCCGGGGCACAGAGCCCAAUUCCAAUACAUUCUUGGGAAAACCGUGACUUAUAGCAACCCUACCCAAAGCACAUGGGAGAGCUGUUAAAUAGCUUAUGCAUGUACACAUCAGCGGCAGCACUCGCAGGAGCAGUACUGCAAGAGCAGCUGUCCAAGUGACAUGUUAUUUUGUUCAUUUUGUAGAGCAAAUGUUUUCUGCAUCUGCUCUACAGUAUUUCUUCUACACAAAGCCCAUGGCCUCUACUCCAGGUGAAAGAGACAGCCAGGUGUACAUAAUAACAUACCUCCCAACCAAUGACAGCUCCAGAGGUGGGGCUGCAGUACAGUCCAAAAUUCAAAUAGGGGAGCCACACCAACUGCCAGUGAGUGUAGGAUGGCAAUGUUUGGCAGUAUUUGGGGUGGCAGUUGGUAUGGUUCCCCUAUUUGAAUUUUGGGCUGCAAUGUAGCCCCACCUCUGGAGCUGCCAUUCCGGCAGUUGCCAGAAAUUAGAGAUGGCCAGUCCGGAUCUAUUGGGAGACAUAUAUUUAGUAGAUAUAAUAUUCAGCUAAGAUGUCAAGUACAAACCAAUAAAGAUGUAAAUUCA